rnacentral:lncRNA from 1 species
AUUAUAAAACACCAAGAUUUAUUGUUACACCGGCACUCAUUAUUUUACUAUAUCAAGUCGUUUUGUGUGCAUGUCCAAGGGUUUCGUACAUAUGCAAGUGCGGCAUGCCUUUAUAUGCGCGCCCUGUGAUGGAUGAGCAAGCCUUCCUUCAUCCGCCUACACUAGGCAGCCCCUUACAGUCGGAGAAGGCCGAGGUGCCUCUAGUUAGCGUUGCCGCUUGCCUUAUUUCUAAAUGAAUCUUUCUUCUUGCUUCGUGCUACUGGGGCUUCUGUAUUCAGUUUUACCAAUGGCCAGGCUUAUGUGUGGUUCGUGUUCUAACAGCUAUUGAGCCUUUCAUGGCAGGGCUGGUUUUCAUGCACAGCCUUUUAUCCACAGCGACUCUCUAAGUAGAUCUGUUAUUAUCCCUGUUUACAGUGGAGGGGGCCAAGGCACAAAACAAUCUCGUAUUUGCUCAAGUCUCCCACUUCGUAAGUGGCAUGUUUAGAUAUUGUCUGAUCCAUACUUGCAGAUACUCAGCAUUAAUGACUCAUACAGAGCCGGUGCUAGAAAAAGAUCAGACACAGUGGAAGCUGUGAGGUGACCUGCUGGGAAGGCAGGCUCUUUGACUGCCAACCCCCACGUCCUUCUUAGACUCCAGUCAGUUGGGUAGAUCCAAAAUGAAAACUGUUUACAUAUGUUGUUUGAUUAUUCCAAAAGAUAACUUUACAGCGCUAGCUGCGUGUAGCAACCAGGAAUUAACCCUCUUACCCUAGGCUUAUGGAUGUGUCCUUUCUCUGUCUGACAUCAGCGUCUCCAUAUCUCCAAGGCACUAAGCCUGGCUUUUUAAAAGCUGCUAAUGACAGCAUUGGUACAUGUAACAAUUAUGUCUGUUCCAGUCUGGGGCACAGCUAGUCAUCAUUUAAAAGACCAAUUCUUUUCUUCUUGCCAGCCCCGAGAUCUGGACCACAGCCUUUGAAAUUGGGCUUCCGUGCGUCUUGUAAAGGUCUCCUUGGAUCCCCACCGAUAGCUGGCCCCAGUAUGUCGUUUAGUAACAGGUUUUGGACCUGAAUUGUUGCUCCCCAAGCUUCUCUUGCUGCAAAGCACGAACAGUGACGGAGACAUCCUUAACUUGCAUGCUGGUGGACCUUGCCUUAGUCCAGGGACCCAGUCUUCCUCCAUGUUUAAUUUUGGCUGUGCUGGACACCAUACUCACCGCCCCCAUCCUUCACUAGGUUAGGAUCUAGGUUCCUGUGUAUCUAAAGCCCUACUGUGCUUUUUAUUUUUAUUAUUAAAAAAAAAUACUUACUGAGUUUUGUUUAAGAGAGAUUUCCUUUACAGAGUGGGCUGGCCCAGGGCUCCUGUCAGUCAAUCCUGGUCAUGGCCUCCUGGCUGCUGAGAUUCUGCUUACUCAACUAUGGGUUUUUUAUUUAAUUUUUUUUUAACAUUUCUUUACUGUAUUUGUGGGCCUGUGCACACCAUAGUGUGCAUGCCAUAGUACAUGACGAGGUGACUUAGAGUCAGUCUCUCAUUUUUCCAUAUGGGUCCUGGGAGUCAAACUCUGGCCAGGAUCAAACUCAGGUUGUCCCCUUUAGCUGAUGGCUAAUGCUUUUACCUGCUGAGCCAGAUCACUUCCUUAAAGGGGCCUGAGAAACCUCACUUUGGUAAGAGUAGCAGGAUACGCUGAAGACCCAGGUGUACAGUCUCUGUGCUUCGGAGACGGCCCGAGGCUCUCCUGAGCAGUUGUCAGGUUCAUUUACAGACUGCAGACAUUCACGUCCCUGUUACUGUCUCCAUGCAGAGGAAUGGCUACAACCACCAUCUGCAGAAAGCGUCCUUGCCUAAGUAUGCCAUGUGGCAACUCCAAAUGAGGAAUUGUCUGUCUUAAUUCAGUUCUGAGCGUCUCGAACAGCUGGUAAAAAUCCUGCACCUUAUGUGUAAAAUUUGCCUAACUAGUUCUGUCCAGACUACAUCUUAGACUGUAAGAUCUCAGAGGCCAGUGUCUUGGUGUCCCUUUCUUUUCACUGUGGAACUAACACAGAGGCAUUCAGAAAUGCAAACUCGCACCGAGUCUACCUUUGACUUAAAGGAAACAAAGGUUGUUAGCAGGUAUUGGGCACUCUCUUCUCAUUUACAUUUGACCUAUGUAGACUUUGAGAUGGAGGAUGGCAAUUAGAAUGGGCUAUUGUUUAAAUCUUAUUAGAAUUAGAAGUAAAGAUUGGGUGUAUGACAAACAGGCUGCUCAGGAUUUUGGGGGGGAAGUGACUUACUUGGAGUUGAUAUUCAACUUCGAUGUGGGCCACAAGUGGAGGAUUGGGGGUCUCUUUUUAUAUAGACCGUGGCCAGGCAGAAUCAUCUUGUGAGCAUUUUGCAGCCACCAUGAUGGGAGGAAUGAAGUGUAAGGCCAACAAGAGGUCUCUGUGAGAAGGGCUACUAGAGUUUUUGUAUUAGCAUCUCUGUUUGACAGCCAUUAAUCACCACUCAUAAAAAAACGAUGAAACAAUAGAAUUUUUUGUUGCUUAUAUUAGAUAUUAAGCUAAUUGUAAGAAUGAUAAUGAUUACGGUAAGGGAGACUGUGCUAGUUAGCUUUUGUCAGAGUCACCUGGGAAGAGGGAAGUUCACUUCAGGAAUUGCCUCUGUCAGAAUGGCCGAUGGGCAUGUCAGUGGACUAUUUUCUUAAUUAAUGCUUGGUGGAGGGCCUAGCCUACUGUGGGUGAUGCCAUUCCUGGGCAGAUAGCACUGGGUGGUGUAAGAAAUGGAGCUGAGCAAGCCAGGAGGAGCAAGCCAGUGAGCAGCAUCCCUCUGUGGUCUCUGCUUCUCCUCAGUGGUCUCUGCUUCAGCUCCUUCCUCUAGGGUCCUGCCUGGUGUUCCCAGCUUCCCUCAUUGAUGGACUGUAAAUUGUGAGAUGAAAUAAAUCCUUUCCUCCCCAAGUAGCUUUUUGGUUAUGAUAUUUAUUGCAGCAAUAGAAAUUAAACUAAGGCAGGCUCUUAGUAAGCAGAUUAAAGAGUAG